UCUCGGGGUAGGUGGUAAAAGCCAAAAGACUAUGGAUAUUUUAGAGAUCCAAAAAUGGUUCCAAAUCCUUUCCUCAAGGG
rnacentral:tRNA from 1 species